UACGAAGGGUGCAAGCGUUACUCGGAAUUACUGGGCGUAAAGCGUGCGUAGGCGGUUCGUUAAGUCUGAUGUGAAAUCCCCGGGCUCAACCUGGGACGUGCAUUGGAAACUGGCGAUCUAGAGUACGGUAGAGGGUGGUGGAAUUCCCGGUGUAGCAGUGAAAUGCGUAGAGAUCGGGAGGAACACUCGUGGCGAAGGCGGCCACCUGGACCAGUACUGACGCUGAGGCACGAAAGCGUGGGGAGCAAAC
rnacentral:rRNA from 1 species